rnacentral:lncRNA from 1 species
GGCAGAUACUUGUAGUUGUCCUCAAAUUUCAUACUCUCAUUUUUCUUUAUUAAUAUAACCACACAUUUUUAACUGAGCUCAUUGAUCAUCAUAACAGAGUCUAUUGAAAGUCCUCAGCAGGCGGUGUGACGAUGUGACCAGCUCUGGCCAAGGAGCUGUAGGCAGAAGUGUCUUGCAGCAGCUCCUGUAAAUCUUAAAAGACAGCUGGUGCGUGUCUUUUUUCCUUUUUUUUUCCCUUCCCCCUUCCUGCUGCGCUGAAUAUGGAUAUGGUGAGUGAAUCUAGAGCAGCCAUUUGGAGGUAUGAAGAGAUCUUGGAAAUAGAGGCCAUGUGUGUUGAAACAAGACCGAACAACUCCAAGUUCCUGAAGACUUCAUUUCACCAACCCAGAACCUCCUUGAUCAUCACAGCCUUUGCAUGGAUGAUUGUCUGUCCUCUGUUGGGCCCCUUCUGAAGAGUUGGAGUUGGCUUUAUACAAUUAUUCCCAAAUCUUCUAAACUGACAGUGAGGGAGAGUAAUUUGAAAGGACUGCUCAACUCAACGUCAUUUGAAGAUUUGCACCACAGCUGCAUUUUUCCAAUUUCCUGGCAUCUAUUCUGCUCUCCUGGACUUUUCAAAAACAAUUUCUUUCAGAUCCCUGGAGGCCUCUCCCAGGGCCUGUGGUGUGGAGAGUUGGACUUGACCCUACUGUAAGAGACCCAACUUCCAAAGACUGCAUCAGAUGAAAGGCUCUCCAUAUAGACUACAGACUUGUCAGCUGGUUAAGGAGGCAAACAGAACAGUCUGCUACAAACUCCAGUCCAUGUAUCUGUGCUGAAAAUAAAAGGAGUCUUCAGGAAUCAAAGAAGAAAAUAUUUUUAUAAAGAAAUUUUAUUGCAUAAUUCUUGUAUACAAUAAACAUAGGAAAAGGGUUUUUAAUGAAAAUUCAUGUCAUUUUUCA